UACAUGUGGGGCAAGCGUUGUUCGGAAUCACUGGGCAUAAAGGGUGCGUAGGCGGUAUUGUACGUCCGGGGUGAAAACCCAUGGCCCAACCAUGGAUCGGCCUUGGAUACGGCAGUACUUGAGUGCGUGAGGGGUGAUCGGAACGCGUGGUGUAGCGGUGAAAUGCGUAGAUAUCACGCGGAAGGCCAACGGCGAAGGCAGAUCACUGGCACGCAACUGACGCUGAGUGCACGAAAGCGUGGGGAGCAAACAGGAUUAGAUACCCUGGUAGUCCACGCCGUAAACGAUGGGCACUGGAUCGUCGCGGUACUAUGCCGUGGCGGUCGUAGGAAAUUCAUUAAGUGCCCCGCCUGGGGAGUAUGGUCGCAAGGCUG
rnacentral:rRNA from 1 species